AGAGUUUGAUCAUGGCUCAGGAUGAACGCCGGCGGUGUGCCUAAUACAUGCAAGUCGAACGCGUUGGCCCAACUGAUUGAACGUGCUUGCACGGACUUGACGUUGGUUUACCAGCGAGUGGCGGACGGGUGAGUAACACGUAGGUAACCUGCCCCAAAGCGGGGGAUAACAUUUGGAAACAGAUGCUAAUACCGCAUAACAAUUUGAAUCGCAUGAUUCAAAUUUAAAAGAUGGUUUCGGCUAUCACUUUGGGAUGGACCUGCGGCGCAUUAGCUUGUUGGUAGGGUAACGGCCUACCAAGGCUGUGAUGCGUAGCCGAGUUGAGAGACUGAUCGGCCACAAUGGAACUGAGACACGGUCCAUACUCCUACGGGAGGCAGCAGUAGGGAAUCUUCCACAAUGGGCGCAAGCCUGAUGGAGCAACACCGCGUGAGUGAAGAAGGGUUUCGGCUCGUAAAGCUCUGUUGUUAGAGAAGAACGUGCGUGAGAGCAACUGUUCACGCAGUGACGGUAUCUAACCAGAAAGUCACGGCUAACUACGUGCCAGCAGCCGCGGUAAUACGUAGGUGGCAAGCGUUAUCCGGAUUUAUUGGGCGUAAAGCGAGCGCAGGCGGUUUGAUAAGUCUGAUGUGAAAGCCUUUGGCUUAACCAAAGAAGUGCAUCGGAAACUGUCAGACCUGAGUGCAGAAGAGGACAGUGGAACUCCAUGUGUAGCGGUGGAAUGCGUAGAUAUAUGGAAGAACACCAGUGGCGAAGGCGGCUGUCUGGUCCGCAACUGACGCUGAGGCUCGAAAGCAUGGGUAGCGAACAGGAUUAGAUACCCUGGUAGUCCAUGCCGUAAACGAUGAGUGCUAGGUGUUGGAGGGUUUCCGCCCUUCAGUGCCGCAGCU
rnacentral:rRNA from 1 species